AUGGCCGACGCGGGUCAAAGUGUAGUAUCUGUUCUUAUGAGCUUAAUAUGAGAUACGGGUUGUGUUCGGGCCCAAUAUAUGUUAAACUUAUUUUUGUAAGUUGGCGGAGUGCUUGAAGCCUGCUUCACAUCCGCCGCCGGUCGGCCCGGUAUUGCACCAUCAUCGGGAACGGUCUACGUUUG